rnacentral:rRNA from 1 species
UGCGGGGGGGGGCAAGCGUUGUUCGGAAUUACUGGGCGUAAAGGGCUCGUAGGCGGCCAACUAAGUCGGAUGUGAAAUCCCCAGGCUUAACCUGGGAACUGCAUCCGAUACUGGAUGGCUUGAAUCCGGGAGAGGGAUGCAGAAUUCCAGGUGUAGCGGUGAAAUGCGUAGAUAUCUGGAGGAAUACCGGUGGCGAAGGCGGCAUCCUGGACCGGCAUUGACGCUGAGGAGCGAAAGCGUGGGGAGCAAACAGG